rnacentral:RNase_P_RNA from 1 species
CAGGUCGGUCGGGUGGCCGCGGUCCCAUCUCGUCGGGAUCGAGGAAAGUCCGCACUCCACAGGGCACGAUGCCGGAUAACGUCCGGGGCGGGGCAACCUGCCGGAUAGGACCACAGAAAAUGACAGCCGGAAUCGGUAAAUCAGGGAACAGGGAUCAGGUAUCUUGCCUGAUCCCUAAUACCUGAUCACUGAUCCCGGUCAUGGUGAAAAGGUGGUGUAAGAGACCACCGGCGCGGGUGGCAACAUCCGCGGCCAGGCAACCCCCAUCGGGAGCAAGGCCAAACAGGAACGAAGCGAGUUGCGAAUGGCAAAUGGCGAGUAGCGGAGAACGGCCCAGGCCGUUAAUCGUUAUUCAAAAUUCAUCAUUCCAUCGCGGGAGGCUGCUCGUCUCCCUAUCAGUUCCGGGUAGGCUGCACCGAGGCGCGCCGAGAGGCACGUCCCAGACAGAUGGCCACCCACGCGGAGGACAAGGGACGAAGCCCCCUUCGGGGAGUGUAAACCUUUCCCCUCCGCUGGACAGAAUGCGGCUUAUUGGCUGACCUGGGGG